CAGACUUUCACAAGAUUCUACCAAAGACUGAUUUUCCCUCUUAAGGGCAGAUGCUUCACUUUUCUCACUGUCCAUCUGUAACGAAAUAUAAUACACAUAUGAUGCAAAUUUAACGGCAUUCAUUAAGAUGCGAUAGAGGAAAUGUACUCCAUUGUUUCUCAGUUGCCCUUCAAUCUCUUGGAUCUUUUGUAAGGCCUUUGCAGGAAGGCCAUCCUUCCACUCUUCUACAGCCCAGCUCAUACUUACUUAAGAUGCUGUGUUGCUCACCAAAGACACUCUGGCAUGCUCUGAAAAAUGCAAUAAGAUGAAUGGCGCCAUGCUGCUUCCAUAGGGCUCUGCCAAACACGUGCUCUUGGUCAUAGCAGAUGGUAUGAGAGCCAUAUAUGGAUUUCAUCACCAUGGUUACAGCCAGGGAUGCGACACAGCUUAU